rnacentral:lncRNA from 1 species
GGAACAUCGGAUUACUCAUCUGGUGGCAGGUGGGUGUCGGAGCUGGCUGUGGACCCCACCGUCUGUAGCCAGUCCGCAGCAGCUUUCCUCUCUGGCAAACUCACAGCAAGCAUGCAGGGUGAUAAAACGGCAGUGACAAAUCCAGUGCAAUCAGGUGGGAAAUCCCCCCUGAGUAAUAACACCUCCUCAUCGCUCAUCCCGACCUCUUCCCCUGAGCCCCGCGUCUGCCGCUGAGAACUCAGCGCUGUUUUACCUUCAGCCCUGAGCUCCGCACAGGAAAAAGAAGAGAAAAGUGAGACACGGGAGUCUGGAGGAUCUCAAUCAAUGGUCAGAAAGGAGUACCCAGAAUGUCUACUGAUUGCCUCACUCCACGCAGAAUAUGCAACAUUCAUCCUUUCUCUAUCGCACCCUCCCUGCAUCUCCCAUCAUUCUUGACUCAGAGAAGAAGGCGUCAAGCAUCCUUUCAAGUACCUUCCCCAGGGUUGUCAUCAACUUAACUCCUCUUCAGUUUCCACUGCUACUAGUAAAGUAAUCAUGAUUUACGAAGAAUCCAUGGAAAAAUUUUGCAUCUAUUAAUUAUCUGACUUAAUCUUUGCCAGAUCGUUAUUAAGCAAGAAUUACUAUUACCCUGAUUUUCACAGAUGAGGAAAUUGAGGAUAAGGAAAUUUAGGAACCUGCCUAGAGUUACACAACAAGGAAGUUGCAGAGGGGAGGGUUUUUGCCAAGGUUUCUAUGAUUCCAAUGUUAUCACUUUUCUAAUGCAUCUGCUGACCGAGACUGAAGAAUCAACUACCUCCUCCAGAAGGUCAGUCACCCAAGAAAUCUCUGGGACUGAGGAGAACGGGGGAACAGGAGACAGAUCGGAGAGGCUGGGACAUGGAGAUUUGCUUCAGAUGCAAAGAACUCAUCUCCUAGAAUUUUGCAGCAUCUUCCAGAGUCUAAGCUUGUGUUUUGACGUGCCCUUUCCAAGACACUGGGAUACGUGAAGCUCAGUGAAUCAGGAGCGUUUACGGAGGAGAAAGAAAAUAAGAUCUUCUCCCCAGCUAAAAAUCCAGGCAUUGUCCUUGGCUAGAAAACCUCUCUUGGAUUGUAUGGACAGACUGAAAAUACAUCUUAGCAUCCAAACAUAGACAGCCAGGGCAUGGACUCAGGCUUGAUGCCCAAAGAGAUCCUCAUCAUCAUACCUUAGAAGUACCACAUCCUUUGUUCCUCCUGGCUAAACCCCUUCAGCCAACAUCCCUGCCUGCAGGGUAAGCAAUUUACUUACAGUUAAACUGCUAAUAAGUAGGGAAUCAUGGAUCAAUCAGAAACACUAAAUAUUUCAAAAUAUUUAGGGUCAAUAUUUCAAAAAACAUUGCAACAUUUGUACAUUUACCUGCUACAAGUUUGCAUGGGCAGGAACCAUAUCAAGUCCAUUAAAAUUCCUGAUUUCCUUAUGUCUAGCAAAAUCUUUGAUCACUAGUUAUGUAUAUUUCAGUUAAUAAAAAUGAAGAGCAUGAGUACUCUUCCAUAAGAAAUGCAGCGUGUUGGGAUAUACAGAAUUUUGCAAAACAGAGUAGAAUGGGGAUGGUUAUCAUAACGCAGUGGGCCCAUCAGUGUAGUGGAGUUCAACAUUUUUGAUUCCUUCCAAAUUUCCAGAUUUCAUCUUUGAUGUUGGGAAUGUAAAGACUGAUAUAGCACAAUCAUGGUCCUCCAGAAAUGUAUCAGAUUGUUGGGGAAACAAAUAGAUGCAGAAAUAGUUAUCUGCGUGAUACAGCAAAUACAAACAUGUGCAAGAUGCUCCAAGGAUGUAGAAAGAGAAGCCCUGGUUGGGCUUGUGUGGAGGAGAUGUGGGAAAGGGGGCUUUCUCAAGGAAGCGAUGUCUGAACUCAGACGUGAAGGAACAGCAGAGCUUACCCUCCCCACAGGAGGUUGUACUGUACAGCAUGAGCAAAGAAAGGAGGAAGGUGUAAAGACAUUACCUUUGGUGCAAAGAUUGGCAUAGCUGUCCCACAACCUAUUUGAAUUAACAUUUGUCAAUGAGACACCAACAUCAAAUGCUAUCACUGACAUGUGGAAUCUAAAAAAAGGACACAAUGAACUUCUUUGCAGAACAGAUACUGACUCACAGACUUUGAAAAACUUACGGUUUCCAAAUGAGACAGGUUAGCGGGUGGGGGGAUGCACUGAGGGUUUGGGAUGGAAAUGCUGUAAAAUUUGGUUGUGAUGAUUGUUGUACACCUAUAAAUGUAAUAAAAUUCAUUAAGUAAUAAAAAAGGAAAAAAAACUUUACAAUGAUAUAUAAAAAAUAAUAAUGUUUAUCAUGGUAGGUCUCCAUGCAUUAAGAAUUUACUGAGAGGCUAUUCUAUGCCAAGCCUAACAGUGGGCACCCAGGGUGGAUAGCUCAAAUGUCAUGUCUCCAAAAAUCCACAUUUCAGGAGAGAAAACGAUGCAACACUGUGCAAUGAGCUUGAAAGACCUCACCCAUAAUACAUGCUGGACCAGGAGCUUUAUUUGGUAGAAAUGCUUUGAGAAUAUUUUUUUUGUUUUUAUCUUGCCACUGGAUGUGUC